GACGAACGCUGGCGGCGUGCCUAAUACAUGCAAGUCGAGCGCAGGAAACUGACGGAACUCUUCGGAGGGAAGGCAGUGGAAUGAGCGGCGGACGGGUGAGUAACACGUAAGGAACCUGCCUCAAGGAUUGGGAUAACUCCGAGAAAUCGGAGCUAAUACCGGAUAGUUCAACGGACCGCAUGGUCCGCUGAUGAAAGGCGCUUCGGCGUCACCUUGAGAUGGCCUUGCGGUGCAUUAGCUAGUUGGUGGGGUAACGGCCCACCAAGGCGACGAUGCAUAGCGGACCUGGAAGGGGGAUCGGCCACACUGGGACUGAGACACGGCCCAGACUCCUACGGGAGGCAGCAGUAGGGAAUCUUCCACAGUGGACGAAAGUCUGAUGGAGCAACGCCGCGUGAGUGAUGAAGGUUUUCGGAUCGUAAAACUCUGUUGUAAGGGAAGAACACGUACGAGAGGAAAUGCUCGUACCUUGACGGUACCUUACGAGAAAGCCACGGCUAACUACGUGCCAGCCGCCGCGGUAA
rnacentral:rRNA from 1 species